rnacentral:rRNA from 1 species
GCCGCCGCGGUAAUACCAGCUCCAAUAGCGUAUAUUUAAGUUGUUGCAGUUAAAAAGCUCGUAGUUGGAUUUCGGGUGGGUUCCAGCGGUCUGCCUCUGGUAUGUACUGCUGUGGCCUACCUUUCUGCCGGGGACGUGUUCCUGGGCUUCAUUGUCCGGGACUCGAAUUCGGCGAGGAUACUUUGAGUAAAACAGCGUGUUCAAAGCAAGCCUACGCUCUGAAUGCAUUAGCAUGGAAUAUCACGAUAGGACUCUGGCCUAUCUUGUUGGUCUGUAGGACCGGAGUAAUGAUUAAGAGGGACAGUCGGGGGCAUUCGUAUUUCAUUGUCAGAGGUGAAAUUCUUGGAUUUAUGAAAGACGAACUUCUGCGAAAGCAUUUGCCAAGGAUGUUUUCAUUAAUCAAGAACGAAAGUUGGGGGCUCGAAGACGAUUAGAUACCGUCGUAGUCUCAACCAUAAACGAUG